UUGUCGCUGAUAAUCUGCCCUCAUCAGAACACCAUCAUUGUCUUGGCCACGUCAACGUGUCACCGUCGCGCAAAGCCACAGUCCCGUCAGCAAGCGCCAAACAAGCGUUAGUCAUCACCAAUCUCUUGGCUCGUCGUCUGGCCCCGCUGCUCCACCUCCCGCUUCGCUGUGGGCACCCGCUCGCUUGCUCACAUAAAGUUGGCCAUCGCGACAGCGCAUUUCGCACCUCUUCUUCGCACCUUGAGGUUGGAGCGUAGGGCUACCGAGGGCUAUGUGCAACAAGCUCGGACCAGUGGUAGUAUCCACCCAAACGGCGGUUGCAUCAGCGAGGUGGAUGAGCAGCGAACAAUGGAGAUUGUGGCUGUGGGAUAUUUAUAGCAUGGCUGAUAGGGACACGCUGGAGAGAAGAUUGCCGAGCCCAAACAGACGAGACGAAGAGGACUAAACGCCCCAACCUUGCCUAACGAUGCCAAACUUGGCCAACCUCGUCAACCUUGUCCCUCCCGCCCUUUUACUCCCUCCCACUCCCCAUUCGACCUCACCUGUCGCUGCAGCUCAUCUCAUUCUCCAAAUGAGCCCCUGAACCCAAACGGGAAAUGGCGAGAAAAAAAAAAGUGCAUUCCCAACCUCUCCCUAUGUUGAAGUCUAAGGCCGUUUGACGCGACGCACUACAAGUACAGCACUUGUACUUGCCAACUGCACUUUGGCGGCAUGAGACAUUGGCAUUGGCAAUUGAGGUGGUCGUGUAGACUAUCCACCGGAAUAAACGGAGGAGACAGCUCCUGGAGCGGUGGUUACGCGGCUUGUCAACACGACCGUUUUCGACAUGGUUGGACUUUUCCAUGCACAUUCUUGGGAUGCACGCGGAGGUUAGAUUGGGUAGGGCACAUUGCCGGACAGCGAGUUGGGUGAGACGACGACACGACACGACGACACGAUGAGUUGGGUGAGUACGAGUAAGGCAACCAUUGACACUUGCUCAGACGGUGUUUGACGUAUUCCAUUCAUUGAAAACGCCAUGUCGGUGCCGGAUCUAUCGGACCACACCUUCGCUACAUACGAGUACGAGACACCCUUGUCGAGGAUGUCGACUAUGUACUGCAUGUGUAUAGUCGUAUCUUGAGACACACAGCGCGUCCAUUGUUUCAACUACACUUCCAAGAUGCGACCAGUUGGCGUUGGUGGGAGUAGGUCGAGGCAUUGUCUCGCUGUAUUUUGAUUUUGCGUCUUGUAUUUGGACUGUCUUCGUACUGGUACUGUAUUGCGACUAUCUUGGAACUUGUACCGUAUUCCGACAAUCUUCGUACUCGUACUGUAUUCCGACACUCCAUGGACAUUCGCCUGCACUAUUUAGCUAAGAACCUGCUCUUAGCAACUUAAUCCAGUGUCGAGAUUCCAGAAAUGUACCACGCUUCCCGAUCCGUCCGCUAUGUAGAUCUCUGCAGGGGAGCAGAGGUUGGGUUGGAGGUGUGGUAGGGUAGGUGGUAGAGUGGUAGGGCGAUUAGGGUGAGUAGGUGAGGAGGAGGAGUAG
rnacentral:misc_RNA from 1 species